CCUACGGGUGGCAGCAGUAGGGAAUAUUGCUCAAUGGGGGAAACCCUGAUGCAGCGACGCCGCGUGAGUGAAGAAGUAAUUCGUUACGUAAAGCUCUAUCAGCAGGGAAGAAACACUGACCUUACGGUCAGCAGACGGUACCUGAGUAAGAAGCCCCGGCUAACUACGUGCCAGCAGCCGCGGUAAUACGUAGGGGGCAAGCUGUAUCCGGAUUUACUGGGUGUAAAGGGAGCGUAGACGGGGCGCCAAGUCUGGAGUGAAAUGCCGCAGCUUAACUGCGGAACUGCUUUGGAAACUGGCGAACUAGAGUGCGGGAGGGGUAAGCGGAAUUCCUAGUGUAGCGGUGAAAUGCGUAGAUAUUAGGAGGAACACCGGUGGCGAAGGCGGCUUACUGGACCGUAACUGACGUUGAGGCUCGAAAGCGUGGGGAGCAAACAGGAUUAGAUACCCCUGUAGUC
rnacentral:rRNA from 1 species